CACGUAGGGUGCGAGCGUUGUCCGGAAUUAUUGGGCGUAAAGAGCUCGUAGGCGGUGUGUCGCGUCGGCCGUGAAAACCUGCAGCUUAACUGUGGGCUUGCGGUCGAUACGGGCAUCACUGGAGUUCGGCAGGGGAGACUGGAAUUCCUGGAGUAGCGGUGAAAUGCGCAGAUAUCAGGAGGAACACCGGUGGCGAAGGCGGGUCUCUGGGCCGAUACUGACGCUGAGGAGCGAAAGCGUGGGGAGCGAACAGG
rnacentral:rRNA from 1 species